GAUGUGGGAAGGCAUAGACAGCCAGGAUGUUGGCUUAGAAGCAGCCAUCAUUUAAAGAAAGCGUAAUAGCUCACUGGUCGAGUCGGCCUGCGCGGAAGAUGUAACGGGGCUAAACCAUGCACCGAAGCUGCGGCAGCGACGCUUAGCGUUGUUGGGUAGGGGAGCGUUCUGUAAGCCGUUGAAGGUGGCCUGUGAGGGUUGCUGGAGGUAUCAGAAGUGCGAAUGCUGACAUAAGUAACGAUAAAGCGGGUGAAAAGCCCGCUCGCCGGAAGACCAAGGGUUCCUGUCCAACGUUAAUCGGGGCAGGGUGAGUCGACCCCUAAGGCGAGGCUGAAAAGCGUAGUCGAUGGGAAACAGGUUAAUAUUCCUGUACUUGGUGUUACUGCGAAGGGGGGACGGAGAAGGCUAGGCUAGCCGGGCGACGGUUGUCCCGGUUUAAGCGUGUAGGGGGUGUGACCUGGUAAAUCCGGUUGCAUAUCAACCCUGAGGCGUGAUGACGAUGCACUACGGUGCAGAAGUAGUUGAUGCCCUGCUUCCAGGAAAAUCCUCUAAGCUCCAGGUAACAUUAAAUCGUACCCCAAACCGACACAGGUGGUCAGGUAGAGAAUACCAAGGCGCUUGAGAGAACUCGGGUGAAGGAACUAGGCAAAAUGGUGCCGUAACUUCGGGAGAAGGCACGCUGGCAUGUAGGUGAAG
rnacentral:rRNA from 1 species